AUGCCCACGUCAACCGCCCACACCUCCGCUCCCCGCCGCAGGCACGACGAGGGUGGUGCCAACACUCCCGCCGUGGAACCACACUACACCGCGGAGGGACCCCACCCUGCAAACCCUCACAACUCCAGGUCCAGGCCCCAUCCUCCUCCACUGACAACAGCUCAGCAGCGCGCGCUCCCGCUGGACUCCGGGCCCGGGCGUCCCAAGCCACCCCUCACACCUGCGGAAAAGGAACCGAGUUGGGCCACCUCAGGACGCCCCGCGAGGCCGCCUGCAGUGGGGGAGGGGCUGCUGAGGCGGGAGGGCGCGCGCCGCGCCCGCUUCCGCCCCACCUACUGCGCGCGCUCCGAGACCAGCCGCGGGGGCCACGGCUCACGCCUGCGCACUGACGCCCUCCCCGCGGCCUCCCACUCUCCUUUCCCCUCCCCCAAGCCGGUCGCACCCUUGCGCCUGCGCAGUGCACGUUCCCGGGCUGCGGCAGCCAUGCUGAACCCGUACGGCGCUAGUAGUGGGGGGGAUAGGGUCGAGGACAGCGGGAUAGGCAGCCGAGGAUGUGGAGAAGCAGCGGCGUUAGGGUGCUUUGGGUGUGUAGAGAAAGGCCUGGGCCAUGCGGCUCCCUUGGCCCCUUGCGCGACCCCCGAGAACCUUCGGAAAAAUCGGCCCCCGUGGUGGUGGGGAGGGGGGUGGCUGGCACGUGACCCGGAUCAGCCAAUCUGGGUGACGCUGACGUGGCCGCGCGGUCCCGAUGCUCUCCCCACCCCCCAGCUCGGCCGGGAAGGGAGGGGCUGGGGGCUACGCCCCCUCCCCCAACUCAACCUCAGUUUCCGGGGGGGGGUGACACCCCGGAUUACAUCCUCCCCCCGCACCAAGCCAAGGGGAACAGUGGAGCCCCCCUGGAAGGUUCCGGGAUCCAGGUUCUUCACUGCGGCGGCCGCCUCAUUCCCGAGAACAACCACCGCCAGCGUCCUGUGGCCACACCCCGGCGGGCCGAUCCUGGCUACGCCCACGCGGCCCCCUCCAAUCCUGCCGGCCUGGCCAAUGGAGGAACUACGAAUGGCACGACCUGCCCAAGCUUGGCAGUCGCCAGUCGCACUGGGCUUGGACGGCUGGAAAGACUUUGUUGGAAGGGGAGGCAGGAGAGGGUGCUGCACCCCUGCCAACCUCCUCUUUCCUGGAGUUGCUGAACCACAGCGCAGCCAAUUGGCUCAGAGAUGUGGCAGGUUGCCGCUUCCUGGGGGUCUAUGCGGCACUCUUCUGCCUGGUGACUGACGCUUUGGAAAUGAGGUUUAUGACGUCAUCGCUUCCGCCGACCAAUAGAAAACGCUCCCGCGGAGAGGUGUUCCU
rnacentral:lncRNA from 1 species